rnacentral:rRNA from 1 species
CAAAGGUUUGGUCCUGGCCUUGUGGUCAGUUAUUACUUACUAUACACAUGCAAGUAUCCGCCCCCCUGUGAAAACGCCCUUCAACCCCCAUUAGGGACAAGGAGCCGGUAUCAGGCACAAAAAUCCGCCCAAGACACCUAGCUACGCCACACCCACAAGGGAAUUCAGCAGUGAUUAACAUUGAGCAUUAGCGCAAGCUUGACUCAGUUAAAGUAAACAGAGCCGGCUAAUCUGGUGCCAGCCGCCGCGGUUACACCACGUGGCUCAAAUUGACCCCCUCCGGCGUAAAGCGUGAUUAAAGUUUCCACUUACUAGAGUUAAACUAAAACUAAGCUGUGACACGCCUGUUAUCAAGAAACCCAAAAACGAAAGUUACUCUAACAUAACCAACUUGAACUCACGACAGCUGGG